GUGCUUACUUCAGGAGCACAUAUACUAAAAUUAGAAUGAUGCAGAGAUGGUUAACAUGGCCUAGUGCAAGGAUGAUAUGUAAUUUGUGAAGUGUGAAGUGUGCCAUAUUUCU
ensembl:snRNA U6 U6 spliceosomal RNA